UACGGAGGGGCUAGCGUUGUUCGGAAUUAUUGGGCGUAAAGAGCUCGUAGGCGGCCUGUCGCGUCGGCUGUGAAAACCCGGGGCUCAACCCCGGGCCUGCAGUCGAUACGGGCAGGCUAGAGUCCGGCAGGGGAGACUGGAAUUCCUGGUGUAGCGGUGAAAUGCGCAGAUAUCAGGAGGAACACCGGUGGCGAAGGCGGGUCUCUGGGCCGAUACUGACGCUGAGGAGCGAAAGCGUGGGGAGCGAACAGG
rnacentral:rRNA from 1 species